rnacentral:lncRNA from 1 species
ACUUCGAUGAAAUAGCGAACUUGGUCCUGCCAUACAAGCCAAAAAGGAUUGGUGCAUAAACAGACCUGUCAAAACCACCAAUCUGCUACUGUAAGUAGGAUGCUACAGGCACCACAAAUGCACAUCGUGAAUGGAUAUAUAAAGGAAGAAGAAACAUAUUGCAGUGACGAACAAAAAAAAUAGUUUGAACAAAUGAGUAUUAUCAUACCUCAUAAUUUAGAUUUACUGAGCAGUUAUAGCAAUCUCAAGUCUGAUUGAGUGGUUCAUACAAUCAACAAUAAAACCUCUUAGGUAGCUCAAGUUGGAUUGAGUUUAGCUUUUUAUAAAAUGACAAAUCAAUAACCUUGAAAGGGCUUACCAUAAUAUCCUUUUCAAAGAUUAUUCAAUUUUAUAGAAGCACUAAGAUGCAAACAAAGACUCUAAAUAAAACAAUUUGGCCAUUUGGAAUUGACCCAAAAAUAUUCUUCAAUAUGAAACAGUCAACUUUUCCCAAAAAGGGAAGCCCAAAUAUUUCUUAAACAUGUUAAUAUGUUUACCAACUCCACAUUCGAGUAUAAUCUUUAUCCUUGAUAUUAUUCUAUUUCAAUCACAA